rnacentral:lncRNA from 1 species
CGCGAGAGCAAAUAGUGCAAGAAUUUGCACUUGGCAAACUUGCUCUCGGGGACCGGUCCCUGGCGGGAGGGACCGGUUCCCGAACGUUGUCUACGCGAGCUUGCUCUCGGGGACCGGUCCCAGGAGGGAGGGACCGGUUGCCCCGAGGCUGAGGGCUGUGGCAAGCGCGAGGCAACCGGUCCCUAGGCCAGAGGGACCGGUUCCCGAACACGUGAGAUUGAGGAGGUCCCUCUGGGACCGGUCCCAGGCAGGGAGAGACCGGUCCCCGAGCAUGAAAUUUGCCCAGGCAGGCUGGGUCAUGUUGGAGGGGUUGGAGAGCUUGAGGAUAAUGCUCUUUUAUGGAUUAAGAUUCGAGAUGCGCCGGAGUAGGCCAUCUCUCAAUAGAGCAAAGAUCCAAAUGCGAUUGGAGCACUCGCAGUGGGUCGAUGCACCAAUGAUAUUGCUUCUAAGCGAUAUUGGUGAUCGAAUUGGAGUGUGACCCCUAGAGGGAUGGUGAAAGUGACGAAGAGUCGUAAAUGAGAAAUACGAACUCUUGGAUAGCCAAAGUGGCGGAGCGCCGCUUUGUUGACACUCAGGUGAUUCGAGAGGGCUUACCCGUGUGUGCUGUGUCGUGGUGGUGGACCAUAUGACUAUUGGUGCGUUCUUGAUAGCUCCACACCAUGAGGAUAGCGGGUAGUCCCGGUCUCGAAGGAAGUGGUUUGGCCUUAGUGGGCCAGUUAGUGAAUGGUGUUGGAGCGCGUAGAGUCGUUGAGUUUCGACUUGCGCUACCACCCAGAAUGACGGAGACCCGUAAUGCACUUUUGGACUUACACACAGCAAAUGUGAGCGAAUUUAGUCUCACGUCCUCCGUAGUGGGCCUUCGGAUAGUUCCAAUGAGCGAAAGGCCACUCCGAGAUGCAAAAGUGCACUGUACCCCUUGUCACUCAAUAAAGAGAAUUAGGGUGUGAAUUGGGUUUGAGGUGAGUUAGUUUCGAGGACGAAACUCUUAUUAAGGAGGGGAGGAUGUAAGGUAUCGGACUUCUAAAAUCAUGAAGUUACGGUGUACAUUUGGUUGGAAGACCAUUUGAAUGGUUUCGGUGAGGUCCCGGUGAGGUCCGGAAGCAUUCGGGCGUUUUCGGUACGCGUAGGCGCUAAAACGGAGCCGAAAGGCCAUGUUGGGCCGUGAGCCAAAUCCGGCACUAGCAUGGAUGGAAAGAUGAUGAAAACACGCUCGAAAAUAUGUUUGGAGAGUCUCGGUUCGAUUUGAAAAGAAUCGGAGGUCAAACGAGCGAAAACGAGCGAAAACGGAGAAGAAACGGUGAAAAAGCUGAAAAUUUGGCUAAGUCCUUAAAGGCUGGAAUUCUGGACCUACGGGGACCGGUCCCCCAAGUCAAGGGACCGG